CGGACGGGUGAGUAAUGUCUGGGAAACUGCCUGAUGGAGGGGGGUAACUACUGGAAACGGUAGCUAAUACCGCAUAACGUCGCAAGACCAAAGAGGGGGACCUUCGGGCCUCUUGCCAUCGGAUGUGCCCAGAUGGGAUUAGCUAGUAGGUGGGGUAACGGCUCACCUAGGCGACGAUCCCUAGCUGGUCUGAGAGGAUGACCAGCCACACUGGAACUGAGACACGGUCCAG
rnacentral:rRNA from 1 species